rnacentral:rRNA from 1 species
CUGUGCGCACCUUGACGGUACCUAAUCAGAAAGCCACGGCUAACUACGUGCCAGCAGCCGCGGUAAUACGUAGGUGGCAAGCGUUAUCCGGAAUUAUUGGGCGUAAAGCGCGCGUAGCGGUUUCUUAAGUCUGAUGUGAAAAGCCCCACGGGCUCAAACCCGUGGAGGGUCAUUGGAAACUGGGAGACUUGAGUGCAGAAGAGGAAAGUGGAAUUCCAUGUGUAGCGGUGAAAUGCGCAGAGAUAUGGGGGAACACCAGUGGCGAAGGCGACUUUCUGGUCUGUAACUGACGCUGAUGUGCGAAAGCGUGGGGAUCAAACAGGAUUAGAUACCCUGGUAGUCCACGCCGUAAACGAUGAGUGCUAAGUGUUAGGGGGUUUCCGCCCCUUAGUGCUGCAGCUAACGCAUUAAGCACUCCGCCUGGGGAGUACGACCGCAAGGUUG